rnacentral:rRNA from 1 species
CAGUCGCCACGGUAAUACGUAGGGUGCGAGCGUUAAUCGGAAUUACUGGGCGUAAAGCGUGCGCAGGCGGUUAUAUAAGACAGAUGUGAAAUCCCCGGGCUCAACCUGGGACCUGCAUUUGUGACUGUAUAGCUAGAGUACGGUAGAGGGGGAUGGAAUUCCGCGUGUAGCAGUGAAAUGCGUAGAUAUGCGGAGGAACACCGAUGGCGAAGGCAAUCCCCUGGACCUGUACUGACGCUCAUGCACGAAAGCGUGGGGAGCAAACAGGAUUAGAUACCCCAGUAGUCCCUGUCUCUUAUAC